UAAAGCGAAAGAAGGGCAUUCGGUGGAUGCCUUGGCUCUGAGAGGCGACGAAGGACGUGAUAAGCUGCGAAAAGCUGCGGGGAUCGGCAAAUACGACUUGAUCCGCAGAUAUCCGAAUGGGGCAACCCGGCAAGCUUGCUUGCCACCAUCCAUAAGAUGGAGCGAACGUGGGGAACUGAAACAUCUUAGUACCCAUAGGAAGAGAGAACAAUUUAGUGAUUCCCCUAGUAGAGGCGAUCGAACGGGGACGAGCCCAAACCGGCAGUGUCGCAAGGCAUUGCCGGGGUUGUAGGGCUCUCGAUAUCGCAAGAGUGACGCGAGGAGAAGUGACGUGGAAACGUCCACCAUAGACGGUGAUAGUCCGGUAACCGAAGCGAAGUGAAGCGUAGAGAGUACCUGAGUAGUGCGGGACACGUGCAAUCCUGUAUGAAUCCGGGAGGUCCAUCUCCCAAGGCUAAAUACUUCUCAGAGACCGAUAGUGAACAAGUACCGUGAGGGAAAGGUGAAAAGUACCGCUCAUAGCGGAUUGAAAUAGUACCUGAAACCGGAUGCCUACAAGCGGUCGGAGCCCUUCGGGGUGACGGCGUGCCUUUUGCAUAAUGAACCUACGAGUUACCAUGCACAGCAAGGCUAAGCGACCCAGUCGUGGAGCCGUAGCGAAAGCGAGUUUUAAAUGGCGUAUAGUUGUGUAGGGUAGACGCGAAACCAAGUGAUCUAUCCGUGUCCAGACUGAAGUGAGGGUAAAACCUCAUGGAGGGUCCAACGGAGAAAUGGUGAAAAAUUUCCCGAUGAGGUACGGAUAGGAGUGAAAGGCCAAUCAAACUUGGAGAUAGCUCGUACUCCCCGAAAUGCAUUUAGGUGCAGCCUUUAUGGUUAAGUACACGAGGUAGAGCGACUGAUUGGAUGCGAGAGCUUCACCGCUUAUCAAAUCCGGACAAACUCCGAAUGCGUGUAUGUAUUCAUGAAGAGUGAGGGUGCGGGAGCUAAGUUCCGUAUCCGAGAGGCAAAGAAGCCGGACCAUCAGCUAAGGCCCCCAAAUGAUGUCUAAGUUGAAUGAACGAAGUCGCAAUGCAGAGACAGCUAGGAUGUUGGCUUGGAAGCAGCCAUUCAUUUAAAGAGUGCGUAACAGCUCACUAGUCGAGGAUUGUGGCGUGGAUAAUAAUCGGGCAUAAGACAUCUGCCGAAGCUAUGGGAUCGAAAGAUCGGUAGGGGAGCAUUCCAGCGAGGCUGAAGGUGUGAGGUGACUCAUGCUGGACUCUCUGGAAGAGCAAAUGUAGGUAUAAGUAACGAUAAAGGAAGUGAGAAUCUUCCUCGCCGAAAGACUAAGGUUUCCUCUUCAACGUUCGUCGGAAGAGGGUUAGUCGAGACCUAAGGAGUAGCCGUAGUUGGCGUAUCCGAACGGAUGAAUGGGUUAAUAUUCCCAUACUGGUUACACGUAGUGGAUGCAAGGACGAAGGAGUGAAAGCCUCGCCUGCUGACGGAAUAGCUGGUUAAAGGGUGUAGGCGCUGAUGGGGUAGUAAAGUACGUCCCAGAGCCGAAUCUGAUAGUACCGGGAAUCUACGGAGGAACGGAUAGAGGUGUAAGCAGACUUCCAAGAAAAGUUGCUACAUGAUUGAUGUGUAAGCACUCGUACCACAAACCGACACAGGUAGUUGGGUUGAGUAUACUAAGGCGCGCGAGAUAGGCGUGGUUAAGGAACUAGGCAAAAUGGAUCUGUAACUUCGGGAAAAAGAUCGCCCUCCUCCGGGAGGGUUGCAGAGAAUAGGCUCAAGCGACUGUUUACCAAAAACAUAGGGCUGUGCGAAAUAGAAAUAUGCAGUAUACAGCCUGACACCUGCCCGGUGCCGGAAGGUUAAGAGGAGAGGUCAUCCGUAAGGAGAAGCCUUGAAUUGAAGCCCCGGUAAACGGCGGCCGUAACUAUAACGGUCCUAAGGUAGCGAAAUUCCUUGUCGGGUAAGUUCCGACCUGCACGAAUG
rnacentral:rRNA from 1 species